rnacentral:rRNA from 1 species
CGGCAUGCCUAAUACAUGCAAGUCGAACGCUGAAGCACUCUGCUUGCAGAGUGCGGAUGAGUGGCGAACGGGUGAGUAAUGUCUGGGAAGCUGCCUGCUUGAGGGGGAUAGCGGAGCGAAAGUUCCGAUAAUACCGCGUAAGCCCGAGAGGGGAAAGUGCGGGACUGCAAGGCCGCACGCGAGCAGAUGCGCCCAGAUGGGAUUAGGCAGUUGGGGAGGUAACGGCUCACCAAACCGAUGAUCUCUAGCUGGUUUGAGAGGACAAUCAGCCACAUUGGAAUUGAGAAACGGACCAAACUCCUACGGGAGGCAGCAGUGGGGAAUAUUGCACAAUGGGGGAAACCCUGAUGCAGCCAUGCCGCGUGUGUGAAGAAGGCCUUCGGGUUGUAAAGCACUUUUGCAUUCGAGGAAGACAGCGUAUAAAUAAAUGCGCUAUUUGACGUUAGAGUGUGAAUAAGCACCGGCAAACUCCGUG